AUAAUUUAUCUGCGUGUAUAGCCUCAAGCAUUUUCCUGCCUACUCCCUGCAGCUCAGAAGUGGUAAAUGAGUUCACCAAAAAGGUUUCUAUUGUACAAUUUCUCAUUGAAAACUGCCUCAGCAUAUUUGGAGAAGACAUCACUUCCCUCUUGGAGAAGAGCUCAAUGACUUGUGACAACAGUGAUGCUUCAGGUACCUUGAAAAAUUCAGUUGGUUUUGAUGAGAAACAGUGAGUGGGGAUGCCAGGAGUCAUGAGAGAUGCUUAGGCAGUGGCUGUCCUGGAGUCCAGGGCAAGCCCCAAGCACAAUGAUGCAGGACCCAGGACUCCAUCUGCUCAUUCUUCAUAAGGUUGGCUCACAGGUCAUCUGCUGAGAAGGUCACCUGCUCCUCCUUCACUGUGCUCACUGAAUGAGGACAUUCCAAGAUCCCAGCUCCUCCCAUUUGAACUUUCCUCUUCCUAAUCCCAUGCAUCUAUGUUUGAGAAAAUAUUCCCACAUGAUUUUCUAUCUUCCCAUUUCUUCCAUGUUGUAUUACUUUAUUAUUAUUAAUAAUAAAUGCACAUAUUGUGUAUAUGCA